rnacentral:rRNA from 1 species
UACGUAGGGGGCAAGCGUUGUCCGGAUUUAUUGGGCGUAAAGAGCGUGUAGGCGGCCUGACAAGUCUGCUGUGAAAACUCGAGGCUCAACCUCGAGAUGUCGGCGGAAACUGUCUGGCUAGAGUCCGGAAGAGGAGAGUGGAAUUCCUGGUGUAGCGGUGAAAUGCGCAGAUAUCAGGAGGAACACCGGUGGCGAAGGCGGGUCUCUGGGCCGUAACUGACGCUGAGGAGCGAAAGCGUGGGGAGCGAACAGG